rnacentral:rRNA from 1 species
UGUACAGGGGGAUAACAGUUGGAAACGGCUGCUAAUACCGCAUAAGCGCACAGCAUCGCAUGAUGCAGUGUGAAAAACUCCGGUGGUAUAAGAUGGACCCGCGUUGGAUUAGCUAGUUGGUGAGGUAACGGCCCACCAAGGCGACGAUCCAUAGCCGACCUGAGAGGGUGACCGGCCACAUUGGGACUGAGACACGGCCCAAACUCCUACGGGAGGCAGCAGUGGGGAAUAUUGCACAAUGGGCGAAAGCCUGAUGCAGCGACGCCGCGUGAGCGAAGAAGUAUUUCGGUAUGUAAAGCUCUAUCAGCAGGGAAGAUAAUGACGGUACCUGACUAAGAAGCACCGGCUAAAUACGUGCCAGCAGCCGCGGUAAUACGUAUGGUGCAAGCGUUAUCCGGAUUUACUGGGUGUAAAGGGAGCGCAGGCGGUGCGGCAAGUCUGAUGUGAAAGCCCGGGGCUCAACCCCGGUACUGCAUUGGAAACUGUCGUACUAGAGUGUCGGAGGGGUAAGCGGAAUUCCUAGUGUAGCGGUGAAAUGCGUA